UACGGGAGGCAGCAGUGGGGAAUAUUGCACAAUGGGCGAAAGCCUGAUGCAGCAACGCCGCGUGAACGAUGAAGGUCUUCGGAUCGUAAAGUUCUGUUGCAGGGGAAGAUAAUGACGGUACCCUGUGAGGAAGCCCCGGCUAACUACGUGCCAGCAGCCGCGGUAAUACGUAGGGGCUAGCGUUAUCCGGAUUUACUGGGCGUAAAGGGUGCGUAGGUGGUCCUUCAAGUCGGUGGUUAAAGGCUACGGCUCAACCGUAGUAAGCCGCGAAACUGGAGGACUUGAGUGCAGGAGAGGAAAGUGGAAUUCCCCAGUGUAGCGGUGAAAUGCGUAGAUAUUGGGAGGAACACCAGGUAGCGAAGGCGGCUUUUCUGGACUGCAACUGACACUGAGGCACGAAAGCGUGGGUAGCAAA
rnacentral:rRNA from 1 species